GGCGUGGACGUUAAUGACCUGCCUGCCCCGAUGGAUUGAGAUGUUAAUAGAUGACCCUCUUCCUCUUGCGCCCAGUCUCCUGUACCUCUUACCACCGCAACCUCCAGUGACUCAGCCUAACCCACCAUCAUCACCACCACCACCUCUCAGCCUUCCAGCGUACUCGGUGUCUUCUGAUUCUGUGUCUUCCAGAACUGGAGGAGUUCACAGCAAAGGCAGAGUGGAGUGAGGUGAAGCAGGAGAGUCAGGAGAGCCUGCACUUGCUCUGCUGCCCCUUCUCCUCCUCCUCCCGUGUCUCCCGUGUGUUUGCCUCCUGUAUACCCACGACUGCCCUGCAUACCUGGCCAGCCCAGAACUCUCCUCUGCGCUCCAAGCCUGAAUAUCCAGCCACGCACUUGACUUCUCAACCAACGUGUCCGAAGAUGACCAGUCUUUGUCCUGCUCCCUUGGAAGACACCUACACUUGCAUCUCCCACAGGAAGUACAACUACUUUACUACUGAAGGAAGAUUUCUCUUCACAUCUGGCAACAGCCCAGCCAAUGAGAAACACCGGAGCUCAGCCAAUGAGAAGCCAUUACCACCCAGAACUGUUACUUUCCUCCAAUGGACUUUCAAAAAAGUCCCUCCCUACUCCCUCUUUUGCUCUAUGAAAGCAAGCCCCUUCUUUUGUCUCCCGGAAUUUGCUGUAGCAUGCACACCUCGAUUGCAAUUCUUUUGGCUAUUCCCGAAUAAACUUGUUUUGAGGGUAAAAUAACUGGCAAAUUUGCUUUUUAAGUUGACAUAUAUGGUGUCAGAAGUGGGAUCCAAAGGAGGUGACCCCCCUGAGAGACUGUGACCCCCAGAAUCAGUUGAGGUACCCACACUG